rnacentral:rRNA from 1 species
AACGAACGCUGGCGGCAUGCCUAACACAUGCAAGUCGAACGAGACCUUCGGGUCUAGUGGCGCACGGGUGCGUAACGCGUGGGAACCUGCCCUUAGGUUCGGAAUAACUCCCCGAAAGGGUGCUAAUACCGGAUAAUGUCUUCGGACCAAAGAUUUAUCGCCUUUGGAUGGGCCCGCGUUGGAUUAGCUUGUUGGUAGGGUAAAAGCCUACCAAGGCGACGAUCCAUAGCUGGUCUGAGAGGAUGAUCAGCCACACUGGGACUGAGACACGGCCCAGACUCCUACGCGAGGCAGCAGUGGGGAAUAUUGGAAAAUGGGCGAAAGCAUGAUGCAGCAAUGCCGCGUGAGUGAUGAAGGUCUUAGGGUUGUAAAGCUCUUUUACCCGGGAUGAUAAUGACAGUACCGGGAGAAUAAGCUCCGGCUAACUACGUG